AUUAAAGAUGGCGAUUCGUUUUUUCUGUCUCUUCUUGAUAUGUGGAGCGGUUAGGGCGGACUUUCCAGCGUUGGCCACUCGAGAUGAAGUUACAACUGAAGACGUCCACUCUCAACUGCUGAAACUACGCGAGGAUGUGAGACUUUUGAAAGAGAGUUAUCAUCAAGUCGUCGUCGAGGCAGCAGCACAGACACAGCAGCGAGACGAGAUAGGAAAA